AUGGCCGCCUCGGGUCUCCUCUCGAAUUGGCUCGAUGCCGACUCUCCCCCUCCUUUCUGUAGCCACCAGAGGCCUCCCCACUACCCACCUAGCCUCCCCAUCCCCUCGCCUAGUCGCCGGAGUAGGCGUGACAGCGCUUCCCCAGGAUCGGCCGUCGCCCGGUUCUCUGUUGCCGCGGCCACCUCGUGCUCUAGCCCUCCCCGGCGCUGUCCAACCCUCUGGAUGGAUGCGUCGCUCCUCCCUGAGCACGCCGGUGUGCAGAACUCCGCGAGAGGUAGCCGGAGCCGCCAGAAUCAUCAUCGGAGCCCCGCCUCUGUCCUCUGCUGUGGCGGGUGGCACGACCUUUCCCCUCGAUCCCUGCUGGUCCCCUCGGGUGCGGCGUCCCGCGGCGGGCCCUCCGGUGGUCCGAGCUCUGCCGGAUCUGGCCGGAGUCGCCGGAGCCAGACGCCGGCCGAGCCCAGCCCCACCUCUCCUCUGUUCUUCGUCUGGCGCGAGGAAGAAGCCAGGCGAGCAGAGAGAGAGGAGGAGAUGGAUAAGGCGCACCCCACCUGGCAGCCACUCGGGCGUUAA
rnacentral:rRNA from 1 species